CAGCCGCCACGGUAAUACGUAGGUGGCAAGCGUUGUCCGGAAUUAUUGGGCGUAAAGGGCUCGCAGGCGGUUUCUUAAGUCUGAUGUGAAAGCCCCCGGCUCAACCGGGGAGGGUCAUUGGAAACUGGGAAACUUGAGUGCAGAAGAGGAGAGUGGAAUUCCACGUGUAGCGGUGAAAUGCGUAGAGAUGCGGAGGAACACCAGUGGCGAAGGCGACUCUCUGGUCUGUAACUGACGCUGAGGAGCGAAAGCGUGGGGAGCGAACAGGAUUAGAUACCCCAGUAGUCCCUGUCUCUUAUAC
rnacentral:rRNA from 1 species